rnacentral:rRNA from 1 species
CCUACGGGAGGCAGCAGUGGGGAAUUUUGGACAAUGGGCGAAAGCCUGAUCCAGCGACGCCGCGUUGAGGACGAAGGUCUUCGGAUUGUAAACUCCUUUUGCAGGGGACGAAAAAAAUGACGGUACUCUGCGAAUAAGCCACGGCUAACUACGUGCCAGCAGCCGCGGUAAUACGUAGGUGGCGAGCGUUACUCGGAAUCACUAGGCGUAAAGCGCGUGUAGGCGGUAUUUUAAGUCUGUUGUGAAAUCUUAUGGCUAAACCAAAAAAGGUCGUCAGAGACUGAAGGGCUAGAGGGAGGCAGGGGAAAGUGGAAUUCCAGGUGUAGGGGUGAAAUGCGUAGAUAUCGGGAGGAACGCCAAGGGCGAAGGCGGGUUCCUGGGC